ensembl:lncRNA
CAACAACAAACUGCCGAUAUCAACGAGCGGUUCGCUCCACUGGAGCGUUCGGGACUCUGCGGGUUUCUGUCCAUGGAGGAGAGGAACUGACUCAAAGAAGAGGAGACGGGCGCACAAUCCCAAGAUAGCGGAAGCGGUGCGCCGUCUUCACAACUCCGAGACGAAUUACAGUCACCACGAACCGGAGCAAGGGUCAGAUUUAAAGAAUAUGCUUUCAUUCUGCGCUAUAAGGGAAUAUAUACGUAUAGAUACCAUAGGAUGGAUACCGAUCAUAACUGUACAUUUUGUUUUCACAGACUGAUCUCGCCUCAUAAUGAGGCGGUGACCUCGUAUUUGCUCCGGGAAAAGUCCAGAUUUAGACGACGUCAUUGUGUCCGCCAGUGAGACUUAUUUUGAGACGGGACGCAGGAGCUUCAGGUUCAGCCGGAAAACACUCAUUGCGAGCGGAAGCUGCGAAGGAUUCAGCGCGGAGUCGAGCGAGAAGAAAG